rnacentral:tRNA from 1 species
CAGGAUAUAGCUCAAUUUGGUAGAGUGCUUUGUUUGGAACGAAGAAGUUGUAGGUUCAAGUCCUGCUAUCCUGA